rnacentral:sRNA from 1 species
UUAGCUAAAUACGCUAAAGAUAUUGCGGCUUUUAGUGUACUUAUAGUUUCAAUAUUAGCAUUUAUUAUAGGUUUAAUAGUAUUUUU